GCAUGGGUUUGGAUUUAUGGCAGACCUGCCACCAUGGGCUCUCAUAGUGCCCCGUGCCAGAGCAAACUGUGGCCUUGAACCAUUGCUGAUCUCUGCCAGUAGGCUGUAGGCACUGAAGCAAUUUACACAGUA